UCCGAUUUGAAUAUCGGCGGUCUCAUUAGAGUCCCCGGCAUGACCCGCUGGUAACUAAUGAUAGGGGUUGCGCUCGUUGCGGGACUUAACCCAACAUCUCACGACACGAGCUGACGGCAGCCAUGCACCACCUGUGUACGACGCCGAAGCACACCGUGUUUCCACGGCUUUUCCGUACAUGUCAAGCCCAGGUAAGGUUCUUCGCGUUGCUUCGAAUUAAGCCACAUGCUCCGCCGCUUGUGCGGGUCCCCGUCAAUUCCUUUGAGUUUUAGCCUUGCGGCCGUACUCCCCAGGCGGAGUGCUUAAUGCGUUAGCUGCGGCACAGAGAGGGUUGAAGACCUCCCCACACCUAGCACUCAACGUUUACGGCUGGGACUAC
rnacentral:misc_RNA from 1 species